UGGGGGGUGGAGCAGUCUGGUAGCUCGUCGGGCUCAUAACCCGAAGGUCGUUGGUUCAAAUCCACCCCCCGCUACCA
rnacentral:tRNA from 1 species